GGCGGGGAGAAAAGAAAAGGCGCUGAUCCAAAGGAAAAAUAAACGAAGAUAAAAAACCUAAUCUUUAGAUAGAGUUCUAUCUUUUUCACACUAUUCCAUCUCUGACGGCGUUCUCCUGUUGAAGCUCCGUCUCUGGCUCCCUUUCUGAAUCUACCAUAUUUGAAGCUCUCAUAUCUAUUGAAGGGCAACUAUUCAAGAUCAAUAGUUACACAGAUGGGUAUGCCUUCGCCUCUUAAUACAGACUUGCCAUGAAUGAGAAGAAGACAAGAAGCGUGAGAGGUCAAGGAGUUGUUGAUUCAAGCUUUUCU